ensembl:lncRNA
GGUUUGGAUAAUUAUUCAGUUUUUUUCAUUGAUUCGUCGUGACCCUAAAUAGUUUCUAAGGUUAUGAAAUGGGAAAUUGAUCAGCGGAGAGCCCUGAUGGAGAGAGGAACAAACUCACAUAAUAUCCAAAUAUUCAAAUCUCUCUCCCGCUCUCCUCCUCUCUCCACUCUCGCUCCUCAAAUAUCCGUGACCAAAUGGACUUAUAAUUGGAAGUCAGGGCGCACAAAAAUACUCCUCACCUUCUCGCUGAGUUGUCUAGAUAUUAGUUCUGCUGAGUUACAGGGUUGAUAUGAGCACAUGGGAAGAAGAUGAGGGAAAGAGAACAACAUUAGGAGGGGGCAUUCACUUGUGUUUGCACGGGACUUUCUCAUCCUAUAAUUUUUUUUCCUUCUGUUAUUUAUUUAUUUAUUUAUUUAUUUUUCGUCUGAGGGCGUGGAGGUUUUACACACAAACACACACUAAAAGAGUUACACACACAUUCCCUAGCCCAUCUUUUCCUCUCUUCCAACAACGUUUCUCAUUAUAGCCUGUCUCCUCGUGUUUGUCAUAUUGGGCGGUCACCCAUGAUGAUAUCAUAGGGUACUGGGGUAUUUGUUGUGCGUGUGUCUGUGCGUGCGUGUGUGUGUGUGUGUGUGUUCAGUUGUUUGCAACCAUGACUUGGCUUUUCACAACACCCCUGUGAGAUUCCUCACACAUAUGUCCACACACAGACUCUCUCUCUCGGUCUCUCUUUCUCUGACAGAGAGUCAGAAAGUCCCAUUAGCUUCCGAGCCCUUAUUUCUUCCUUGUGGGUGUUGAGAGUCCCCCAUUGUCUGAACUGAAUAGGACAUGUCUCUGGAUCUAUGAAUCCUAUUAUGAAGGAAGUGAAAGGAGGGGGAGGAGGGGAAAAGGAUGAUGGGUAGAUGGAUUUUAGACAGAGCGAUAGAGUAGCAACGUGUGCUGACAAUAGUCUCAGCAGACAAAUAACAAAAAACUGGUCUUUUUUUUUUUUUUUUUUAAAGGCCUAAAGUUUCCUUUGUGGCAAAAGUAAGAGAGCUUUGAAAUUAGUCACACAUGUCAAUGCCAAAACAUCUUAGGAAGAAGAUCAAUAAAACACACACACAGAAAAAAAAAUGGCUGGCUGUAGACUUUGUCUUUUUGCCUUCCUUCAUCCGUGACAUAGCCUAUGCACGUCACUGAUGCCAUUGCCAGCAUUUCUACCAGUGUGUACUGGGCUACUGGUAAAUGUAGGGAGGCCUAUGGACAUUUCUAAGCAGGUGGUUACAGAACAGGUUAUGGUGUAGAUUAGAGGGUAGGUUACAGCAUUCCCUAUUACACUGGAGCUAGCCAUGACCAGCAUGGACGAUGCACAUCUGCGUUGACCCAUUACUGGUGUGACAGUUGAACACAAUUUAAGAUGUUAUGGUUAACA